rnacentral:rRNA from 1 species
CCUACGGGAGGCAGCAGUGAGGAAUAUUGGUCAAUGGCCGUAAGGCUGAACCAGCCAAGUCGCGUGAAGGAAGAAGGAUCUAUGGUUUGUAAACUUCUUUUGUAGGGGAAUAAAGGUAUCCACGUGUGGAUAUUUGCAUGUACCCUAUGAAUAAGCAUCGGCUAACUCCGUGCCAGCAGCCGCGGUAAUACGGAGGAUGCGAGCGUUAUCCGGAUUUAUUGGGUUUAAAGGGUGCGUAGGUUGUUUUUUAAGUCAGAGGUGAAAGUUUGUGGCUCAACCAUAAAAAUGCCGUUGAAGCUGGGAGACUUGAGUGUGUUAGAGGUAGGCGGAAUGCGUGGUGUAGCGGUGAAAUGCAUAGAGAUCACGAAGAACACCGAGUGCGAAGGCAGCUUGCUAGGCCAUAACUGACACUGAAGCACGAAAGCGUGGGGAUCAAACAGGAUUAGAUACCCUGGUAGUC